ACUUCCUGCCACAUUCAUCAGAGGCUACAGAGAGCGAUCAUCAACGGCUUCUUGAACCAACACUUCUUCCGUAAAAGACGCGCAAGCUGGGCUGCUCAUUCAAUAUUUUCGCGAGAGUUUUAAGCGAUGAGAACAGGGCUGACGCUUUUUCUCUCCUAUUCCUGAGUCUCUCUUCUCAUUUAUAACCGUGGUAACCUCAUCGUCUUUAAGCGCUUCUCAAGAUGAAUAUACAUCCUAUUCCAGGAGGAUUUACCCCUGCUGGAACUUGCAUGGCCACAAUUGAUUACAUGUUUCUGUGAGUGAUUCAUUUGGAAUUACUGUGCGCUUCCAGGAGAACUAUUACAUGCCACAUUGGGAGCUGUGGAAAGGUGAUAUUUGCAGGGCUGUGCAGGCAGCUGACCUGGUGUGUGGAUCUUUGUAAAGGGGCCGACUUCAAUGGGAGGAGGAAGGGAUAUGACAUCAACAGGCAACAGGAAAAACCCAGCUUCCAUCUCUGGAGGGACUCUCCGCGCGCCGCAGGCCGAAGGAAUGCAAAUGAAGCCUGUCGCUUACCUGCAAAGAUCUGGAAAUACAAUAGACAUAAGCCAUGAAUAAUUCUAGUACACGCGCAACACAUCUCAAUCCUGCAUGUAAAUGUGCUGUUGAGGAAUGGCCCCGGGCCGCGUUUCCUCUCCGAUAAUUACCAAAUUUGAUCGAGCGUUCGCUAAUUUCCUGCAUUCCUCUGCUGCUUUGUGUCACCGUACAUUGUUUGACACUGAUUCAUCAGUGGGACGCAUUUUCCAUUGUUUCCUUUGUCUUUGUUUUCCCCGAGGCAUGUGCUCCGAAUGCUGAGAAGCUGUCAAUAUAUACUGGCAGCACUUUUAAAAUAUGUUUCUGUAAAAUCUAUUUUUAAUUUCCAUAUAAGCUUAUGCGCCACAGCUGGCCGCACCAGCUCUGCUUUGGUUUGUGCCUCGGUUUGGACGGGCUUUAAGAAGAAAGCAGGUUGUAAUGUAACCACAGAGGCAGAGCUGCUGAAAGCAGGCAUAUGAAAAGGAGUCAAAUGUUAUGCCGAGAAACACAGCAUAACUAAACCGUUGUCUCAGCGCAUUAAAAUAAGUCUGGUGAUUUUCUAUCAUCAUCAAAUCAAAUAAAACGAU